rnacentral:lncRNA from 1 species
AAUAUAUGAGACUUCAAAUAGUUCUAUAUAUAAAAUAUAAUAGGGCUAAAGGGCAGGAGUAGUUCUAGAAUGGGUGAACCCCUGGGAAGGGGGUGCGUCACAGAUAGUAUCAGAGCCUGAGUCAGGAUUGUAUAGCGGAAGGAUUGGGUAGCGGAAAGAACGGUUGACUAUUGUGGGGGAGGUUGUUGGUAGAACGCAGCUUCUCCACAAGAUC